rnacentral:lncRNA from 10 species
CUACUGUUGAGCUUGUCCAAUGAGUUUUCGUUUUGGUUUUUGUAUUUUUCAGUUGUUUAAUUUCCAUUUGUUUUGUUUUGUUUUGUUUUGUUUUUUUGAGACAGACUCUUUGCUCUGUUGCCCAGGCUGGAGUGCAGUGGCGCGAUCUCUGCUCACUGCAAGCUCUGCCUCCCGGGUUCAUGCCAUUCUCCUGCCUCAGCCUCCCGAGUAGCUGGGACUACAGGUGCCCGCCACCAUGCCCGGCUAAUUUUUUGUAUUUUUAGUAGAGACGGGGUUUCACUGUGUUAGCCAGGAUGGUCUCGAUUUCCUGAUCUGGUGAUCCACCUGCCUCGGCCUCCCGAAGUGCUGGGAUUACAGGUGUGAGCCACUGUGCCUGGCCUCCAUUUGGUUCUUUUGUACAUCUUUGAUUUCUUUGCUUAGUUUAUAAUACUAAAGGGCUCAGAAAACAGAAAAAACUAAAUUCCAGAGUCAUGGUUUUCUGGUGGUUUGUCUCAAUAUUUGAAUAGAAAUCCUAAAUUAUCUGGAGGAGUAGAAGUCCUGUAAUCUUUUAUAUUGGGCUUCUUAAAUAUUUCUGUCAACAGAUCUUAUAUCAGGGUGAUCUGCAUAUCAUUCAGAGUUACGUACUCCACGGGAAGGUUGUAUGUAAAAUCCUCCAGCUCUGUAAGCCUUGUUAUAUCCUCAAUGGAGAAGGGGUCAUUCCUUUUCUAAGAUCACUCUUACACUUUUUUAUUAGACACACACACACCCUUCCCCAACCAAACUUGUCUAAGUCCUCUGUCUUUCAUACUCUUGUUUAGUCUUUAACUUCUCCUUAUUAACCAGCUUCUUUCCCAUAAUGUAUAGCUUUAGUCGGAUCUCAAGCCUCGUUUCCAACCUAUUUCACCCUUCCUUGCCUAUCAAGCUCUGGUUAUUCUUUCUUCCACACACAUGCCCUGAGUAACUAUUCUGUGCACUGUCGCCACCCCUUUACAUUUCCUUUUACUCCCCAGAUACUACUAAAUGGCUUCCACCACCGUUGCCUGACUUAAGCACGUCUCAGAAAGGUCCCUUUUGACCCCCUCACUCUCUUUUUGGACCUCCAUACUGCUAAAUCUCUGACUUGAAGGUCCUUUCCUGGCUUCUGUGAAUUCCUGGCUUUUUUCCUUUUUAGGGUCUGUGUCUUUCUUCCAUCUGUAAAACAGCUUUACUUCCCAGCAUCCAUCAUGAUCAUUGCUGUUUUCUAACUUGUCCUUCACCCCAUGACUGAGUUAAUUUGCGCUGAAGACACUUUACUCUCAAUUAUCUACAGUGUUUCCCUAAAUCUGUGUCUCCAGGUUGGAUGUUUCUCAUGUCGUUAACCACUGGUCAUCCUUCCACACCUUUUCUGUAUUUGCACUCACUGAGCCUAUAUGCAUGUAUCAUGUGGCCAUGACCUUGGCCGUGGGGAUGCACCCAUAAUCAUCAUAAGAGAACACAAAUUAUUACUGUGUAUCAGACAUUGUUUCGAAUGUUUUACAUGCGUCAGCUCUUUUAACCUUUAUGACAACUCCAUAAUGUUAUUUCCCCCCUUUAACUGAUUAGAAAACUGAGGUACAGAAAGAUUAAGGAAUUUGUCAAAGAUUUCACAAUUAUGAAAUUUGGGUUUGGGGACUGGAAGCCACUGCACUGGCUUCAGAAUCCAUGUCCUUAACCACUUUAUUGCUUCUCAUAAGGUGGGUCUUUGUUUCCUGGUCAUCACUUGUUUUUACUAAAAUGGGUCAAACUGUGCUCAUUUAUUUAUAAUCUACUAUUCUUAUUUGACAGUACAUCUUGGCCAUUCCUUCAAGCAAAUGAGAUAAACCAGACUCACUCUUUAAUGCCUGCAUAAGCUAUUGUGACUGUAGAAAAGACGGAGAAUGUCUGGGUUUGAGGAUAUGUGGGAGGGGUGGGGAGAAGGA